rnacentral:rRNA from 1 species
AGAGUUUGAUCCUGGCUCAGAACGAACGCUGGCGGCAGGCCUAACACAUGCAAGUCGAGCGAUCGCAGCAAUGCGGGAGCGGCAGACGGGUGAGGAACACGUGGGAACAUACCCUUUGGUUCGGAAUAACUCAGGGAAACUUGAGCUAAUACCGGAUAAGUCGGCAACGAGAAAGAUUCAUCGCCGAAGGAUUGGCCCGCGUCCGAUUAGCUAGUUGGUGAGGUAAUGGCUCACCAAGGCGACGAUCGGUAGCUGGUCUGAGAGGAUGAUCAGCCACAUUGGGACUGAGACACGGCCCAAACUCCUACGGGAGGCAGCAGUGGGGAAUAUUGGACAAUGGGCGCAAGCCUGAUCCAGCCAUGCCGCGUGAGUGAUGACGGCCCUAGGGUUGUAAAGCUCUUUCACCCACGACGAUAAUGACGGUAGUGGGAGAAGAAGCCCCGGCUAACUUCGUGCCAGCAGCCGCGGUAAUACGAAGGGGGCUAGCGUUGUUCGGAUUUACUGGGCGUAAAGCGCACGUAGGCGGAUCUUUAAGUCAGGGGUGAAAUGCCAAGGCUCAACCUUGGAACUGCCUCUGAUACUGGAGAUCUUGAGUUCGGGAGAGGUGAGUGGAACUGCGAGUGUAGAGGUGAAAUUCGUAGAUAUUCGCAAGAACACCAGUGGCGAAGGCGGCUCACUGGCCCGAUACUGACGCUGAGGUGCGAAAGCGUGGGG